UCCUCCAGCCCUGGGGCUGUGAUGGGAGCUGACAGCUCCUCCCGCCCUGGAGUUCUGUGGGGGCACAGCUCUGGCCCCAUGGCCAGAGAAGCGCUCGCUCUCUCUCUCUCUCCUCACCAUGGCUCCAGGGCCAGAGGAGUGCACGCUCUCUCUCUCUCUCUCUCUCUCUCUCUCUCUCUCUGUGCUGUGGCGGCUUUGGGGCCAGAGGAGCUGUCUGACCCUGCCGCAGCCAAGUACUUGUGGAUACAUUUAUUUAGAUGGCUCCACAGCACAUGGAUUUUCAUUGAAAUGGCUUUCUGUCUCCUGAUCAUCAGCCGGAGAUGGUUCUUGAAGAAGAGAGAGAAUUAUAAGAGGACAGAGGAGACAUCCCAUAUGAUUCCUCCUUGUCUUUCUACGCACUUAACACUUGAAGAACAAAGGAAACAGCAUCGGACUGGGGGAGGGAUCCUGACUGAAGGAGAUUCAGCCAGUAAGACAGCUGUAACAUGCAAUGAAAGCGACAUUUGCUUUGAAUUCACUUAGCUUAAUAAAUUAGGUAUUAGUUUCACUUUACUUUUAUUUUCUUGUAACCGGUUCUGACUUUUAUGCCUCAUUUCUUGUAGUCACUUAAAAUCUAUCUUUCUGUAGUUAAUAAACUUGUUUUACUGAUUCA